AGAACGAACGCUGGCGGCAUGCCUAAUACAUGCAAGUCGAACGAACACUUCGGUGUUAGUGGCGCACGGGUGCGUAACGCGUGGGAAUCUGCCCUUGGGUUCGGAAUAACAGUUGGAAACGACUGCUAAUACCGGAUGAUGACGAAAGUCCAAAGAUUUAUCGCCCAGGGAUGAGCCCGCGUAGGAUUAGCUAGUUGGUGAGGUAAAGGCUCACCGAAGGCGACGAUCCUUAGCUGGUCUGAGAGGAUGAGUCAGCCACACGUGGACUGAGACGACGGCCCAGCUCCGUAACGGGAGGCAGCUAAGGAGGGAAUUAUGGGACAAGUGGGCG
rnacentral:rRNA from 1 species